rfam:Tenacibaculum soleae strain TCD-KL19 scaffold_0, whole genome shotgun sequence.
UUAAUAAUCAAGGUCGCGUACCUUAAAAAUUAA